GUCAGCUACUCUCCCUCCCUGUUACUCUCACCCCCCUCUCUCUACGCCAUUUUACCAGUCCCUCUGCCCCCCGUCAACUACUCUCUCCCUGUUACCCUCACCCUUCUCUCUCUACGGUCAGCCUUUACCCAUUUUACUACUCUCUCUCCUCCUGUCAAUUACUCUCUCCUGUUACCCUCACCCUUCUCUCUCUACGCUCACCCAUUACUUCUCUUUCUACGCUCAGAGACCAUAGCAGCUCUCUCCACACCAGCAACUACUGUACCUCUCGCCACACAGAGAUCAAGACCUUUGAACCCAUAAGGAUGUCAUCAGCUUCCACAAACAAUGGAGGAUAUCCACACCGUAACUGUCUGCGGUGCGACAUACCAUGUAAUUUAACUACAUCAAGUUCCCUAUCCAACCCUAGAAGAAUGUACUAUCGGUGUCCAAAUUGUACUUUUUUCCGAUGGUGCGAUGAAAUUUAUGAAAGUGAUAAACUACAUUAUGAACUUGAGACAUCCUAAUUGUACAACAAAGGAAUCAAUCACAAGUAUCGCAAGUGCAUCUCAUGGACAAGCCUAGACCGAUGGUCAUUCAACCACAGUUAUUAUUGUUGUCAAUAUUCAGUUUGGAAAAUUUUUGUUGUGGGAAAGCCUUUUCUAUGAUAUUAGCGUCAAAAGUAAUUUCACCCUUAUAAUUUUCUGGUCUUGUGGAUGAAUAAACCUUUGAUUGUCAAA